rnacentral:rRNA from 1 species
UACGUAGGGAGCAAGCGUUGUUCGGAUUUACUGGGCGUAAAGGGCGCGUAGGCGGCAAAUUAAGUCAGCUGUGAAAUCUCCGAGCUUAACUCGGAACGGUCAGCUGAUACUGAUCUGCUAGAGUGCGGAAGGGGCAAUCGGAAUUCUUGGUGUAGCGGUGAAAUGCGUAGAUAUCGGGAGGAACACCAAUUGCGAAGGCAGCUCGCUGGGACGUCACUGACGCUGAGACGCGAAAGCGUGGGGAGCAAACAGG